rnacentral:rRNA from 1 species
CCAAUAGCGUAUAUUAAAGUUGUUGCAGUUAAAAAGCUCGUAGUUGAAUUUCGGGAUCAAGGAAUCGGUCAUGCCUCGGUAUGUACUGGUUUUAUUGGUUCUCACCUUCUAAAGAACCAUAAUGUCAUUCAUUUGAUGUUAUGGGGAAUUAGGACUGUUACCUUGAAAAAAUUAGAGUGUUUAAAGCAGGCUCACGCUUGAAUACAUUAGCAUGGAAUAAUGAAAUAGGACGUUUGAUUCUAUUUUGUUGGUUUCUAGGAUCGACAUAAUGAUUAAUAGGGAUAGUUGGGGGCAUUAGUAUUCAAUUGUCAGAGGUGAAAUUCUUGGAUUUACUGAAGAAUAACUACUGCGAAAGCAUUUGCCAAGGAUGUUUUCAUUAAUCAAGAACGAAAGUUAGGGGAUCGAAGACGAUCAGAUACCGUCGUAGUCUUAACCAUAAACUAUGCCGACUAGGGAUCGGAUGAUGUUAAUUUUUUAAUGACUCAUUCGGCGCCUUACG